AUGAACGCUGGCGGCGUGCCUAAUACAUGCAAGUCGAGCGAACAGACGAGGAGCUUGCUCCUCUGACGUUAGCGGCGGACGGGUGAGUAACACGUGGAUAACCUACCUAUAAGACUGGGAUAACUUCGGGAAACCGGAGCUAAUACCGGAUAAUAUAUUGAACCGCAUGGUUCAAUAGUGAAAGACGGUUUUGCUGUCACUUAUAGAUGGAUCCGCGCCGCAUUAGCUAGUUGGUAAGGUAACGGCUUACCAAGGCAACGAUGCGUAGCCGACCUGAGAGGGUGAUCGGCCACACUGGAACUGGGACACGGUCCAGACUCCUACGGGAGGCAGCAGUAGGGAAUCUUCCGCAAUGGGCGAAAGCCUGACGGAGCAACGCCGCGUGAGUGAUGAAGGUCUUCGGAUCGUAAAACUCUGUUAUUAGGGAAGAACAAAUGUGUAAGUAACUAUGCACGUCUUGACGGUACCUAAUCAGAAAGCCACGGCUAACUACGUG
rnacentral:rRNA from 1 species